ensembl:lncRNA
AAAGAGAGGGCGCUCAUCUAAUAUCAAUAUAAAGGCUAAGUAGGCUUGUCAGUGCAAUAUAGAAGUCACAUCUUCCAAUGUGUAGCAGUACUCUAUAGACAAACAGCUUGUUUCUAAAGUGAUCCUUACUACCUGAAGAAACAACUGAGGCAAGAUUUGUGCUGGCUCAUCUAUCCCAUGCACAACAAGAAAGUGCUUUCCAAGGAAGGAGCUAAUAUUUCUGUGAUCCUGAGGAUGGUGAAAGCUACUUACAUCCCUCCCAGUCUUAUUUUGGAGUUUCUGGAAAGGAAUAUACACUCCUGCGGGGAAUGCUGAAGUGCACAAAAAUAAGUGUCUGCCAGUCCAUUGCAGGACGAAAGCUGCCUGGCAUUGCGUCACUGGACUGCAGAGAGGCAGGAAGAGCCAGGUUUGUCACCAGGAGCCCUUACGCAUACUCUGGAGUGGACACUGAAAAGUUUAAGUUACACAUAUGUAGUGCACAACUUAUGAAGAUGAGUCCUCCAGAUGAUGCAAGCCAAGUGAGUGGAGUCCAGCAAAAAGGACAUCCCUGAAGAAUUGUGUCACACUGUGUCUUGGUCUUAUUCCUGAUAGAAGAAACCGUAAUACUAUAAAAUACAAUUAACUUGCUUUUGUAUAUUCAGAGAUGAUACUCCCAGGAAGAAUGGUGAAGAAGCGGUAUCUUGUUUUAGCACUUGGACCUGAGAAAGCGUUACUUGUCCCAACACCUUAGUCACCCAGUGAGAUCUUACCAAACCUCUGGUUUUGCUUUACUCAAUUCCUGGACUCACUAUACAAAGGUUUUGAACGACAGCUUGAUUCAUUUCUUCAGGAAAGAGAUGUAUGUAAAGACACCCAGGAAUGACAAACUUGCAUUCUGUAAGAUCAGUCACUGAAAGACUGAGUGCAGAAAUGAUGGCUAGAAAAUUAAGGAGGGGAAUAAGGAAAGUUAAAGGAGUUGUGCAUGACAGGCAUUAACUUUUAAUCCACUGAGAAUGCUGAGUGUAUUUUUUGGAUCUGCAUUUCCUCAUCCAGGUAAUCAGGUAUAUAAUCCAGGUAAUAAACUUCACAAGUUAAUUUCUUGAAACACGGAAAGGUUUCCAAAAAGCAUUAUUAUCUGGAAAAGACAUUGUCUUUUUCAAAUUGCACAUUUGUGCUGCACUACAACUAGUCUGAGAGAGCUUGUCUGGUAAUCACAUAAUUUUCUGUUACAUUGGGAAAAUAAUCAUUAUUUUAGAGCCUUUUCUGUACCAGUUCUGUUUCUGCAGUGCAGGAAGAUAGUUAUUGGCUUUUUCCAAUGCACUGAUGGCAAAAUAGGCUUUUCAAGAACAUGAAAUUAAUAGCUUUCUCAUUUCUCCCUGCUUGAAUACUACUAUAGAUUAUUGAGGACCUCAGCAGCAAAAUUUUUCUGGAAAGAAAAGGCUACGCUAUACUUCAAAGGAAAAUGAAAUGCCUGAUUAAAAAAAUUACUGCGCUGACUUUCCUGCCUACUCUCCAACAAUGCAAUGUGCACACAGCACAUCAAAGAAGAAACUUGGAUGCAUUAUUAUAUACUAAAAGUCCUCAGGUUUCAUAGAACCACAGAAUCACCAAGGUUGGAAAAGACCUCCAAGAUCAUCCAGUCCAGUUGUCCGCCUAUUACCAGUAUUUCCCACUAAACUAUGUCCCUCAGUACAACAUCUAAGAAUUUCUUGAAUACCUCCAGGGAUGUUGACUCCCUGUCACCAGGGAGCCCAUUCCAGUGCCCGACCACUCUUUCUGAGAAUUUUCUUUUUCCUAAUGUCCAACCUGAAUCUCCCCUGGCACAACUUGAGGCCAUUCCCUCUAAUCCUAUCACUAGUUAUAUGAGAGAAGAGGCUGACCCCCACCUCACCAUAACCUCCCUUCAGGUAGCUGUAGAGAGCAAUAAAGUCACCCCUGAGCCUCCUCUUCUCCAGACUAAACAAUCCCAGCUCCCUCAGCUGCUCCUCAUAAGACUUGUGCUUCAGACCCCUCAUCAGCUUUGUUGCCCUUCUCUGGGCGUGGUCCAAGGCCCUAGUGUCUUUGUUGUAGUGAAGAGCUCAAAACUGAGCACAGUACUCAAGGUGCAGCCUCACCACAGCUGAGUACAGAGGGACGAUAACUUCCUUGCUCCCACUGGCAACACUUUCUAAUAAAAGCCGGAUGCCGUGGUUUAAUAUCUGGCUUAUUUUGUUUCAGACCUGAUGGUGUCACGUGCCCAGACCUGUUUUGUUGUUGUAAACACUUCCUGCUGCUCCAUGCUAGGAAAAAUACAGUGGCAGCUAUUGGCUGCACUUUUCAAAGGGAUUUGGUGAGGAAGGAAGAUGAGGGUGCCUUCAGGGAAGAGGAAGGAAGAGACCCCAAAUCCGAG